CGACAAGUGGAGAAGUUAAGUGCUCUGUGGAAAUAGAGAUGAAAAGAAGUGUGUCAGAUAUAACUCUUGGGUCAUCUAAUACUUGUUUGGUGAGUAAAUUUAUAUGUGUGUACUUAAAUAGGUGUAGGUUAGGUUAGGUGCAAAGUACAUUAGGUUCUUUUUUGAGUACGAUAGUCAUGAUAUUCACCACUUUGACAUACGAAAAAUUGAUCAUACGAGUCUCUUUAGGUAGGUUAGAUUAGGUGCAAAGUACAUUAGGUUCUUUUUUGAGUACGAUAGUCAUGAUAUUCACCACUUUAUAAGAUACGAAAAAUAUAAUCAAAUGAGACUCUAUACUUUUAAUUCCUUUAGGCUUUUAUAUAUUAGUUGACCGUACAUUAGUAAGUUCUUCUUCUGUACAGUCAUCAUCAUCAUAAUUUACCAGUCAUUAAUCGUAGUCACCUUAUACAACAACAACAAAAACAACAUAAAAAAUAUCAAAUGAGCCCCUUUAGUUAUGCGUGACUGGCUCAUGUGUGUUAAUUUAAUACCAGGAGGAGGAGGAGGAGGAGGAAGAAGAAGAAGAAGAGGAGGCACCAUCUCACCUAGUUAUUUCCGUGGGAGGAGGAGGAGGAGGAGGGAGAAGUGGGUGGCGAAGGUGAGGAAGAGGAGGAGGAGGAGGAGGAGGGGAAGGAAUGUGAGGAAGGAAGAAGGGAGGAAAGGGAUGGUGAGAGGGUAGAAAGGAGGAGGAGGAAGAAGAGGAAGAGGAGGAGGUGGAAGAAGGGUUGAAUGAAGAAAAGGGAGGAGGGAAGAAUGGAAGAGGACGAAGAGAAAAAGGAAAUAAAGAAGAAUGUGAGAAAUGAAAAAAUGAUUAGAAACAGGAGGAGAAGGAAGAAGAGGAGGAGGCGGCUGAAGAGAAAGGAAGUGAAGAACAGGGAGGAGGAGGAGGAGGAGAUGAAGAAGGAAGAAGAGGUGAAAGAAGAAGAAGAGGAGGAGGAGGAAGCUGAAGAGAGAGGAAGGGAAGAACAGGGAGAAGGAGGGAAGGGAUAGAGGAGGAGGAGGAAGAUGAGAUGAAGAAGGAAGAAGAGAAGGAGGAGGAGGAGGAGGAAGCUGAGGAGAAAGGAAAUGAAGAACAGGGAGGAGGAGGAGGAGGAGGAGAUGAAGAAGGAAGGCUAGAAGAAGAAGGAGGAGGAGGAGGAAGGGUAGGGGCUGUAUGAUGCUGAUUUGAAAGGGGUAAGUCGGUUGGCAGGUCUUUUUGGUACCCUGCCAGAUACCUCUUCCUCCUCCUCCUCCUCUCCCCCCAUCACAACCAUACAUAACCCAUUCCUCAUAUCACACAUUCCACCAUCACCGCCACCACCGUCAUUACUCGGUAUUUAUAGCCCUAAGGUCACUGAUACAUGCUUGCCUGCUCCCCUGUCAACCCCUAUGUAUUAGUGGUGGUUGGUACGCGAAUCGUCCUCGUCGGAGAGAGAGAGCGAUGUUGUUUGUGGGUGAUUUUGAUAAGGCUUUGGUGGUAGCGAGCGGACUUUGCUUUCCUCUCUCUUUUUUUCUGUCCCGUGAGCUGUUUCCUUUCCCGUUAAAAUGAGAUUGAGGUUGUGAGGUUGUGGAUGGUUCUUCAGCUUGUUAAUUGAUGGUUUCUAUACGAGUGGAAAGAGUGAGACUGUUAAGUAAGUCAAGUUAAAUUAGAGGAUUGUUUUGCUAAUUCGAUAAGGCUUUGGUAGAGGUUGUGUUGGUAUUUGAGAUUGGGGUUGUGAGGUUGUUGAUGGUUCUUUAGGUUCAUAAUUAAUGGUUUCUAGACGAGUGGAAAGAGUAAAUCAGUGUCCAGUAAGUCAAGUUAAAUUAGUGGGUUGUUUAGCUAAUUCGAUAAAGCUUUGGUAGAGGUUGUGGUGAUAUCUGAUGAAGCUUUGGUUGAGGUUGUGUCAGUAUUUCCAUGGGUAGUUUUAUGAGCCUAGUGAUCGUUUGACAAGACUUCUGAAUGUGAAAUAACACUCGUGAAAACCUGAUUAAUCUCCUUUGUGGACUUUGGAAAUAGUUACUCUGUACUCUCAAAUGCUUUCAUAUAGUAAUUUGAAUAUUUAUUUAUUUAUAUCUCUUCAACUUAAGUAGGUUCAAGUUUGUCAUUUUUCUAUAAGAGCUUUUUUUAUGAUGCGUUGAAAGUUUGUAAUCUAUUAAUUUUCUGUUUUAUUUAUCUAUUUGUUAUUUUUUAUUCGAGGUUUAAGAGAAUUCGUAAUUUCUUUUAAUGGCCUUUUCUUGGCCGGCUGGUGACUAAGCUAAUGUAUUUUGUUGCCACACUCUCUUGUAUUUCUGCUUGUGAGUCACUUUCAAAUUUGUUUCUUUUAGCAUUAUAAGUAUAUUUUGCACAAGAGUAUAUUCGCCCUAUCUCACGAAGUCUUUGAUGUCUCCUUAUCUCCUUUCAUUAGUUAAGCAUUUUUGUAUAUUUGUAUUUAUGUAUAGUUGUGUUUUCUUUAUAUUUCUUUACCUUACUUGUGUUGCAUUUUCAGCUUCUCUCGGUCUCUCUCUCUCUCUCUCCAGUUCUUUGAUGUCUGGUCUAUGCUUCUUCCUUUCAAUAUGGAGAGAUUUCUGUGUGUUUGUGUUUAUGUGAGGGGGCUUCGUGGUGCAGUGGUUAGCACACUAGGCUCACAACCGAGAGAGCCCGGGUUCGAUUCCCGGGCGGAGUGGAAAAAUUUGGGUGGCUUUUCCGAUACCCUAUGCCCCUGUCCACCCAGCAGUGAAUGGGUACCAGGUAUUAAUCGUGGGUGUGUCCUGUCUCCUAGGAUCUGUUCCCUUCUAUAAUUCCUUCCCUUUCUGUCUCUCUCCGGCAUAUGACCACAGAUGCUGCGCCGACUAAACAAAACUUUCCAACUUUUUCUAGUCUCUUUAACCCUUUGAAACCACUCCAUCUAUCCUCCUUUCUUUCAAUAUGGAGAGAGGGAUUUCUGUGUAUAUGUUAAGGGAUGUUUGUUUUGUAUACCCAAGUCUUGUUUUAUUUAUUUACUUUGCAUUUGUAGAUUCUCCUGGUCUCUCUACCCCUUUGAAGCCACUCCAUCUAUCCUCCUUUCUUUCAAUAUGGAGAGAGGGAUUUCUGUGUAUAUUUUAAGGGAUGUUUGUUUUGUAUAUCCUAGUCUUGUUUUACUUAUUUACUUUGCAUUUGUAGAUUCUCCUGGUCUCUCUACCCCUUUGAAGCCACUCCAUCUAUCCUCCUUUCUUUCAGUAUGGAGAGAGAUAUCUAUGUGUCCCUCCUCUCAUUAUGAUCCAGUUUAUUGAUCUCGGGCAAGGAAGGGUAAGGAGUCUCGUGCUUCCCCCGCCUCACGCUUUGUUAAAUUCCUCCCCCCUGACUCAGCCCUUGAUUGUGAGUCACGCAGGUGGUGUGGGAAAAAGUGGAGCCUCGUCUUAAGUGGUGGUGUUCCUGCUCUUUAUUUUUAGGGCCUGAGAGAGAGGGGG